GCGGGUAUAGUUUAGUGGUAAAAUCAUAGCCUUCCAAGCUAUUGAUGCGGGUUCGAUUCCCGCUACCCGCU
rnacentral:tRNA from 5 species